UCCUCAUAUGUAAUACUUUCCUUAAACGUAAAUCAAAUUGUUUAAACCGGAUAUGAUGAUUAAAUGUUGUAUCGGCAUGGUUUUAUCUGACUACUUUGCUUUUUUAAUUUGGUUGCCAGCUUCAACCUAAUUCUUGAUUUAGAACUAUGAUUUUGAACUAAAACAUUUCCGUGUUGAAUAAAAUACUAUUUAUUCUUAACUGUAAUUUUUUUGAGGCUUCAGUUAUCAAAUGUUGGUGGUAAUUUUAGUUAUGCCACUGUGAAAGCGUCGAUUGUUAAGUAGACAUAAAAAGUUUGAAGUAUGUACAAAGCCUGAAAGUGUCAAAUAUGGAACCUAAAAAAACCUGCCUUUGCCACUGACUGUAUAAAGGUUUUUUAAGGUCUGUUUGUCAAGCGC